rnacentral:lncRNA from 1 species
UGCGUGUGUGUAUUCGCGCGCGCGCAUUUGUGUCCGUGUGUAUACCACUGUGUUUACAUAAGUGUAUGAUAGAAAUUUUAGAAGGAUAAGACAAACAUUUAACUGUCUGUCUGCCUAUCUAUCUAUCUAUCUAUCUAUCUAUCUAUCUAUCUAUCUAUCUAUCUAUCUAUCUAUCUAUCUAUCUAUCAGUCAGUCCAGAUAUUCUGUUUGUUAAUAUAUAUCACUGCACGUCAAUAAUUUCUAUCAUAUAUAUAUAGCUGAAAUGUCGAACGACGAAGAAAACACAGAAG